rnacentral:lncRNA from 1 species
UUAUGAACUAACUUUUUCUUCACUUUUGAUAUACAGGUAAGUUAAAUAAUCCUGACUACAGCUGAAAGGACUAAAGUGGCCAUCUGAAGUAGCCUUUGCUGAUAAUUUUUAGAGAUAAGAAAUAAGAUGCUCAUCAAUUAGCCCAAAAGGAUGAAUGAGGGUAGAGUAUGUGAGAAGGCAGAUUCUGGGACCUUGCAAUUCACAGAGUUGUUGCAAUAAGAUUGGAAUUUCAAAGGAGAGUUUGAAUAUAUCAAUGUUUUGAUUGUCUGUAUAUUUUUGUGUCUGUGCAAGUCAUACAUAAAUCUCUGCCAGCCUUGUGCUUUGUGGCAAGUCUCUCUCAGCUGGUGCAGGGACGGGAGACCUGUGUCUCUUCUCAAGGCAGGGCCAGUGCUCCACCACAGUGCUCCUGAGCACACAGUCCCUGGGACACCCAGGAGUAUGCAGGAGCACGUCCUGGGCCACCUGUUGUUCCUUCCAUCAGCAAGAUGGUGGUCCCAGUUCCUGGCCUGGCAUUGUGUGUUCACACUGCUGGGCUGUCUGAGAAUAUUGGGCCUGAGGAGCAAAAAUCACCCAUGGGUAUGUGUGUCCAGAAGCCUGGAGUAAUCAAACACACCUUCAUGGGUAGGCAUGUUUCUCUUAGUGAAGAUGAUGGUGGGUAAAGACAAUGCAGGAUGCUUCGAGGGUUCUGAGUCAGAGGCCUCCCAGGACAGCACUGAGCUGUUAGCACAGCUGCCAGAGGCAGAACACUGAGUGCUUGAAAAUGUGGGGACUUCAACCAAGCUCCUAUUUUUUUUGGAAGACCACAAUCUCAGAAGCUUUUUAGCAGGAAGCCUAUAAAGGAUGAAUAUCAAUGUAACUUGCCCUGCUGUCAACCUCUGCACAGCUUAGUCACAGAAAUGGACAGGGAAGAGACUCUGAAAAGAAGAAAUCCUCUUAGAGCCUUGGUUCAAGUCUUAGCCCUGUGUCACCUCCUGACUAUGUGAUCUUGCACAAGGGACGCUUUCUCUCUGAAUCUCAGCUUCCAAGUCUAGAGAAAAGAAAUGAAAAUCCUCACCUCCAUGGGAUGUGAGUAUAGAAUGAGAUGGGGCACGUGGCAAGCCUUUGAAAGCCAUGAAAUUCUGUGUGGUUGAGAAUUAGGCUAGAUUCAGCAUUUGCAGGGAAGGAACCUCACUUAGUGAAAAGCUUUUCACCAGAAGAUUUAGGUCCCAGCUAAGCCAGGCUGGUGAGCAUCUAUGUGUCUGUGAUGCUGACUGACCGCACAAGACAUACCUAAUAGCCAGCUCCUGGGAGCAAUGCAACAUCCUUGAGGCAUUGCUGGAUAAACAACUGCUAGUUCCUGCCUGAGGAUGUGAACUCCCCAGCCUCACCAUAUGGCUGGUCAUGAGCAAGAGGAUAGCAAAAGGAUAGCAACCCAGUGGUUGCAAACCAGUGGUUGCUAUCCCCAGCAAGAGGAUAGCAACCCAGUGGCCUUGCUACCUCCAAGGGCCCAGUAGAGCUUGGGACCAAGCUCUAUUGAUCAGCAUCCCCCAGAGUUUUCACCUGCAGAGAAGCAGGACAGGUGGGCACUCAGGAGUGAGGAGCAUGCUGCAUCUCUUUCCUGCAGGUGCAAUUCCCCUGCCCCGGGCUCAGCAAUCAUUUCCUGCUCCCACCCUGGGCUGACAGCACCUGUGUACUAGACUGUUUUCACCGGCAGUUCAAGAGGAAAUCAACUGUCACUGCAUGUCAAAGGUAAUUUCUGAUCACAAGUACAGGAGAAAGACCUGAUGAAGAAGCAAGAUUAAUUUUUCCGGCAGUCAAAGCAUGCAGCUGUAUAGCUCAUGGAUCCAAAAUUGGGAAGCAGGCAUUGGAAAGCAGAACCAGCACACUUGGAAGAUGAUGAACUACCUGGCAGAUCUAAGAUUUGGGGUUAGAAAAAGCCUUUCAAACAGAGCAUGCCUGGCACAUUUUUAGGCAUUUCGUCCAUAAAUUAUGUCUGGGUGCCUAAACAGUGGCCAGGUGAGCCUUUUCUUCUAGCUCUUUCUGAUUCUGUGGCAGUGAAGGAACAAGUCCAGUUCUGAAACUAAACCCAAUCCAGAAACGAACUACCAAGAUACGGAAUAUACACUAGUUUCACUCUUUGCAAACCUUGUUUUUUCCUGUCCCUGAAGUCAGCACCCAACCGGAGUAAGUAUGUAGCAGAAAGUUGCUUGUUGAAUUGAAAAAGGUAAUAAAAAGGAAGAGCUGAAGCAGCAAAAACUGCUGAGAGUGGCAGCUCAGGACUUAGUCUUAAAAAGUGUUAUCUGGUAAAUUUCAUGGUCUUUUCUCCCAUUUUUCUCAGGUUUUUUCCCCUUGAAAAUUAAUAUUUUCUCUAUUCAUUUAAUCAUUUUAUAAGAAACCAAGUAAUAUAGAGUAUAUUUUAACCUCCUGAAAUAAUAAAAUGACUGUAGCUCCUUUAAAGGGUACUAAAAAAAUAAGUAUUACAUAAAUUUCAUUUUUCUUAAAACUUUCACUCACCUGGCUCCUAAACUUCCAAAUGCUUUUCAUUUCGUCCUUCUGCAGCUUUGUGUGGAGCUGAGCUGGAAGAUGAAAUAGCUCCUCCCAGACUAACCAGCCUUCCAGCACCUUCUGCUUAGCUGAGACCCUGACGGCUGGAAGUUUGCCUCACAACCCUAUGAGCUUCCAGAGGGCACAAGAUGUGUCUUGUAAAUGACCAUAUCCUUAGCACCAAACAGGUGCUCAGUAAUCAUUAGCUGAAGAAAGGACUGAAUGAACGCUCCAAAGGCUGGGGCUGGAAGGGCCAGCAGCAACACAAUGGAUGGGUCACUCUUGGCUGCCUCCUUGAACUCCUCCAAUGUAAUCUGGUCGUCCUUAUCCUGGUCCAUCUUCUUGAAGAUCUUGUCCACACGCUGCUGGGGCGUGAGCCCGUCCUGGUUCAUGCGCAUCAUGAUCACGGUGCCCACCAUCUUGUAGAUUGCCUGG